CGACCUUAAACGGUGCACACUCGGGGUGGGGCCAUUUCACCGGCCCCGUCCCUUAGCUAACGCGUUAAGUGUGCCGCCUGGGGAGUACGGCCGCAAGGCUAAAACUCAAAGAAAUUGACGGGGGCCCGCACAAGCAGAGGAGCAUGUGGCUUAAUUCGAUGCAACGCGAAGAACCUUACCUGGAUUUGACAUCGUCGGCAAAGGCCUAUGAAAGUANGCUGGAGGUUAUCCGAUAGACAGGUGCUGCAUGGCUGUCGUCAGUUCGUGCCGUGAGGUGUUUGGUUAAGUCCACCAACGAACGCAACCCCUUUGGUAUGUUGCCAUCAGGUCAAGCUGGGAACUCGUACCAUACUGCCUGUUUACGCAGGAGGAAGGUGGGGAUGACGUCAAGUCAGUAUGGCCCUUACAUCCAGGGUUGCACACGUGCUACAAUGGCCGGUACAGAGGGACGCGAGACCGCAAGGUGGAGCCAAUCCCAGAGAGCCGGCCCCAGUUCAGAUCGGGGUCUGCAACCCGACCCCGUGAAGUCGGAUUUGCUAGUAACGGCGUAUCAGCUACGACGCCGUGAAUGCGUUCCCGGGCCUUGUACACACCGCCCGUCACAUCAUGAAAGCCGUCUGCACCCGAAGUCGGGCAUUUGUCCGCCUAAGGUGUGGGUGGUGAUUGGGAUG
rnacentral:rRNA from 1 species